AUGUUCACUCGCAGCUCCAAGAAGAGAGAAUCCAGCAGAUCGCUGAACACCCUUGAUGAGCCGGAGAGAGGACAGCCGUGUAACGUGUGUGGAGACCAGUGUCCCGGCUUCACUCUGCACAAAUGGAGAUACAGUAUACAGCCUGGGGUUGGCAGAGAUGGGCAGAUAAAGAGAGUGAAGGAGAGGGACAGUGAGACAGACAGAGAGAGCAAGAUGGAGAUGGACAGGGAGCCUGAGAAAGAUGGAGAGAGCCAGACAGGGGAGCCUGAGAAGGAAGGAAGUAGGGAGGUGAAUCUAUCCUAAAUGCUUGUUUCCACUUUCCAUGGUUUGGACUCAUUACAGAUGUGAUUCAGGAUCAGUACAAUAACAGCCAUCUCGCCUGAGCCCAUGUUCUCCCUCUCAGUCACUCGUCCCUUUUCACGACUCUCGUCUCGUCUCUGCUCUCCACUCAUACCCAUCAGUCAGAUAGAAAACCGAUGAAGUAUUUAACAUGAAAAAACGUGUUUAUCUUCCAAGAUAGCUAUAAUUUGUCCUACGUUGUGGGUUUCAGCAGUAUAACUUUUCUGUUAUGUGCUGUAUAAACUGUCAAGCUGUGGAGAGAAGACUAGUCUGUGGUCUAAACACCACAUGAAGAGAAGCAAGAUAUUGACGGUAGAGUGUUUGCGCCUGGUACCGUAUUUAUCUUCCACAUCUGCUUUGCAUACAGUGCCUUCGAAAGGUUUUCAGAUCCUUUGACUUUUUCCACAUAUUGUUACUUUACAGCCUUAUUCUAAAAUUGAUUAAAUAGUUUUUUCCCCUCACCAACCUCCACAAAAUACCCCAUAAUGACAAAGCAAAAACUGUUUUUUUAGAAAUGUUUUAAAAUGAAACAUUAUAUUUACAAUACUAUUCAGACCCUUUACUCAGUACUUUGUUGAAGCACCUUUGUCAG
rnacentral:lncRNA from 1 species